AUGGCCGAGCGUCUCGCCGCAGCCGCCACCCUCCGCGCCGACGCUCCGUCCGGCCCCUCGCCGGCCGGCCGCCGCGCCAGGCCAUCCAGCUCUGCCUUCUUCCCCUCCUCGUCCUCCCCGGCUCUCCGCCUCGUCAGCCUCCGCGCCGCGUCCUCUCGGCCCUCCCAGAAGGCCAAGUCGGCGGGGAGGGGGCGAUCGGUGAGGUGCAUGGCGGCGGCGUCGGACGCGGCACAGCUGAAGGCCGCGCGCGAGGACAUCAGGGAGCUGCUCAACACAACCCACUGCCACCCCAUCCUGGUUCGUUUGGGUUGGCAUGAUUCUGGCACAUAUGACAAAAAUAUUAAGGACUGGCCAGAACGAGGUGGAGCUAAUGGAAGUUUAAGAUUUGAUGUUGAACUAAAGCAUGGAGCCAAUGCCGGUUUGGUAAAUGCUCUAAAGCUUGUGCAACCGAUCAAGGACAAAUACCCCAGUAUAACUUAUGCGGAUUUAUUCCAGUUGGCAAGUGCUACAGCAAUUGAGGAAGCUGGUGGCCCAAAGAUUCCAAUGAAAUAUGGACGGGUUGAUGUCACAGGACCUGAGCAGUGUCCACCUGAAGGGAAGCUUCCUGAUGCUGGCCCGAGUGCUCCUGCUGACCACUUGAGGCUGGUAUUCUACAGAAUGGGCCUUGAUGACAAGGAAAUCGUUGCUUUGUCUGGGGCACAUACACUUGGAAGGUCUAGGCCUGAACGGAGUGGCUGGGGGAAACCUGAAACAAAAUAUACUAAAAAUGGUCCUGGUGCACCUGGUGGACAAUCAUGGACAGCUGAGUGGCUGAAGUUUGAUAACAGUUACUUCAAGGAGAUAAAAGAGAAAGGAGAUCAGGAUCUUCUUGUGCUGCCUACAGAUGCUGCAUUAUUUGAGGACCCAACAUUCAAGGUCUAUGCAGAGAAAUAUGCAGCAGACGAAGAAGCAUUCUUUAAAGACUAUGCGGAGGCUCAUGCUAAACUGAGCAGCCUGGGUGCAAAGUUUGAUCCUGCCGAGGGAUUCUCAUUGGAUGAUUAG
rnacentral:rRNA from 1 species